rnacentral:rRNA from 1 species
CCUACGGGUGGCUGCAGUAGGGAAUAUUGGUCAAUGGGGGAAACCCUGAAGCAGCAACGCCGCGUGGAGGAUGAAGGCUUUCGGAUUGUAAACCCCUUUUGGUAGAGAAGAAAAUGACGGUCGUUUCCGACUAAGCACCUGCUAAAUACGGGCCAGUAGCCGCGGUAAUACGGAGGGUGCGCGCGUUACCCGGAAUCGAUGGGGGUAUAGGGGGCGAAGGGGGGAUAGCAAAGCAGGUGGGGAAUCCUAGGGCUUAAACAUAGUACUGCAGUUGAAACUGGUGAUCUAGAGUGUGGGAGAGGUAGGUGGAAUGCGUGGUGUAGCGGUGAAAUGCGUAGAGAUCAAGAGGAAUACUGAUUGCGAAGGCGGCCUACUGGAGCAUAACUGACGCUGAGGCGCGAAAGCGUGGGGAGCGAACAGGAUUAGAUACCCGAGUAGUC